UACGGAGGGUGCAAGCAUUAAUCGGAUUUAUUGGGCGUAAAGGGCGCGUAGGCGGGCCUGUAAGUCAGAUGUGAAAGCCCGGAGCUCAACUCCGGAAUAGCAUUUGAAACUGCGGGACUAGAGGGUAGGCGGAGAAAAUGGAAUUCCACAAGUAGCGGUGAAAUGCGUAGAUAUGUGGAAGAACACCGGUGGCGAAGGCGAUUUUCUAGCUUAUACCUGACGCUGAGGCGCGAAAGUAAGGGGAGCAAACAGG
rnacentral:misc_RNA from 1 species